GAUAUGGCUCAGGAUGAACGCUAGCUACAGGCUUAACACAUGCAAGUCGAGGGGCAUCAGUUUGGUUUGCUUUGCAAACCAAAGCUUGGCGACCGGCGCACGGGUGAGGUAACACGUAUCCAACCUGCCUCAUACUCGGGGGAUAGCCUUUCGAAAGAAAGAUUAAUAUCCGAUAGCAUAUAUUUCCCGCAUGGGUUUUUAUAUUAAAGAAAUUCGGUAUGAGAUAGGGGAUGCGUUCCAUUAGUUUGG
rnacentral:rRNA from 1 species